AAGAAAGUAGACAAGAACUGCUAAUUCAUGCACCCAUGUAUAAGACACAUGGCUUUCUU
rnacentral:tRNA from 1 species